rnacentral:pre_miRNA from 14 species
ACCGUUAAAAACACGUCUUGCUUUCCUAAGUACUAGUGCCGCAGGAGUUGGGUUUGAGUCUGUAUAUUCCUCCUGCUGCCCAAGUGCUUAUCAAAGCGACGCAAGUUUAUCAACA